UGGAUCGAUGAUGAGUACCAUGGGGUAUCUGAAACGGGAGUUGUGAUUAAACCCAUAUGGAACCCUGAGGUCCCA
ensembl:snoRNA SNORD113-4 small nucleolar RNA, C/D box 113-4